AGUCCUUCGCGACGCUGGCGGCGUGCCUACACAUGCAAGUCGAGCGAUCUUCUUCGGAAGAGAGCGGCGGACGGGUGAGUAACGCGUGGGUAACCUGCCCUGUACACACGGAUAACAUACCGAAAGGUAUGCUAAUACGGGAUAACAUACUUUUAUCGCAUGGUAAAAGUAUCAAAGCUCCGGCGGUACAGGAUGGACCCGCGUCUGAUUAGCUAGUUGGUAAGGUAACGGCUUACCAAGGCGACGAUCAGUAGCCGACCUGAGAGGGUGAUCGGCCACAUUGGAACUGAGACACGGUCCAAACUCCUACGGGAGGCAGCAGUGGGGAAUAUUGCACAAUGGGCGAAAGCCUGAUGCAGCAACGCCGCGUGAGCGAUGAAGGCCUUCGGGUCGUAAAGCUCUGUCCUCAAGGAAGAUAAUGACGGUACUUGAGGAGGAAGCCCCGGCUAACUACGUGCCAGCCCGCCGCGUUA
rnacentral:rRNA from 1 species